rnacentral:rRNA from 1 species
UACGGAAGGCAGCAGUGGGGAAUAUUGCACAAUGGGCGAAAGCCUGAUGCAGCUAUGCCGCGUGUAUGAAGAAGGCCUUAGGGUUGUAAAGUACUUUCAUCGGGGAGGAAAAAACAAAACUAAUAAUUUUAUUUCUUGACGUUACCCGAAAAAGAAGCACCGGCUAACUCCGUGCCAGCAGCCGCGGUAAUACGGAGGGUGCUAGCGUUAAUCAGAAUUACUGGGCGUAAAGAGCACGUAGGUGGUUUUUUUAAAGUCAGAUGUGAAAUCCCUGGGCUUAACCUGGAACUGCAUUUUGAAACUGAAAUACUAGAGUAUCGUAGAGGGAGGUAGAAUUCUAGGUGUAGCGGUGAAAUGCGUAGAUAUCUGGAGGAAUACCUGUGGCGAAAGCGGCCUCCUAAACGAAUACUGACACUGAGGGUGCGAAAGCGUGGGGAGCAAA